GACGAACGCUGGCGGCGUGCUUAACACAUGCAAGUCGAACGAAGAGCGAUGGAAGCUUGCUUCUAUCAAUCUUAGUGGCGAGCGGGUGAGUAACGCGUAAUCAACCUGCCCUUCAGAGGGGGACAACAGUUGGAAACGACUGCUAAUACCGCAUACGAUCUAAACUCGGCAUCGAGGAUAGAUGAAAGGUGGCCUCUACAUGUAAGCUAUCACUGAAGGAGGGGAUUGCGUCUGAUUAGCUAGUUGGAGGGGUAACGGCCCACCAAGGCGAUGAUCAGUAGCCGGUCUGAGAGGAUGAACGGCCACAGUGGGACUGAGACACGGCCCAGACUCCUACGGGAGGCAGCAGUGGGGAAUCUUCCGCAAUGGACGAAAGUCUGACGGAGCAACGCCGCGUGAGUGAUGACGGCCUUCGGGUUGUAAAGCUCGGUUAAUCGGGACGAAAGGCCUUCUUGCGAAUAGGGAGAAGGAUUGACGGUACCGGAAUAGAAAGCCACGGCUAACUACGUG
rnacentral:rRNA from 1 species